rnacentral:lncRNA from 1 species
CAUUUGGUAGACCUGCCUUAAAUUAUGCAUCUAAGUCGUCCUAGGCAGAGUCAUUCGAUAAACGAAAAAAAAGUCAAAUGCAACUUCAGUGGAAUUAUUCAUUACUUAAAAUGAAAUAAUAACACCUUAGCGUCAUUGUUGUAGUGCUAAGGGACAUUGUUCGCAACCAGUAGUGAAAUAAAAUAUUUAUAGUUGAAAAAAAAAUAAUUUUAAAUUGGAAUAUUACCGAAAAUUGUUGGAUACGCAAGAAAUAAAAUGAAACGAUCACCAUUUAACACUUUGUAAAUUCGUCGAGAUCAAGACGAAUCGAAAGUCAUCUUCUAAAUCCGAAUGAAGAUAUGUCGAGAACUUAUGGUAGUAUUGGAUUAUUACGGGUAAAAAAACUAGUAGUGAUCAAAGCUGAGCAUUAUAAUGAACAAGUAUAAAUAUCAAUACGUUGUACUAACAACCGUGCAUUAGUCGAAUACUGUAGAUCUAUAAGACAUGUAAAAAUCAACUUUACUAUUGAUUAACCGGUAAAUUGGCCAGAAGAUUGUGCGAGUAACCAGGUAGGAAAAACUGUUCGAUUUGACAUCACACAGGUUUAUGCGACGGUCAAACAAUUGAGAAGUUUAGCUAGCUAUAAAACACAAUCAAUCAACUAUUUUAACAUGUGCAUGUAACAUGUCAGGAAUAUGACAGUUGUUUUCCAGUCGUUUAUUGUGCUUGUUCUUUUGAUUUUUGUCAUUUGAUAAGGGACUUUCCAAUUUAAAUUUUCCUCGGAGUCCAGGAUGUUUGUCAUUUUACGUUUAGUAUCAUAAUUUGUUUGACC